AACGAACGCUGGCGGCAUGCCUAACACAUGCAAGUCGAACGAGACCUUCGGGUCUAGUGGCGCACGGGUGCGUAACGCGUGGGAACCUGCCCUUAGGUUCGGAAUAACUCCCCGAAAGGGGUGCUAAUACCGGAUAAUGUCUUCGGACCAAAGAUUUAUCGCCUUUGGAUGGGCCCGCGUUGGAUUAGCUAGUUGGUAGGGUAAAAGCCUACCAAGGCGACGAUCCAUAGCUGGUCUGAGAGGAUGAUCAGCCACACUGGGACUGAGACACGGCCCAGACACCGACGGGACGCAGCAGGGGGGGGGAGGGGAAAAGGGGUGAAAGCUGGAUCCAUCAAUUACGCGUGAGUGAAGAAGGAAUGAGGGUUGUAAAGCUCUUUUACACGGGAGGAUAAGGACAGUAGGGAGUGAAUAAGCCCCGCCUAACUCCGUG
rnacentral:rRNA from 1 species